GACGAACGCUGGCGGCGUGCUUAACACAUGCAAGUCGAACGGAAAGGCCCUGCUUUUGUGGGGUGCUCGAGUGGCGAACGGGUGAGUAACACGUGAGUAACCUGCCCUUGACUUUGGGAUAACUUCAGGAAACUGGGGCUAAUACCGGAUAGGAGCUCCUGCUGCAUGGUGGGGGUUGGAAAGUUUCGGCGGUUGGGGAUGGACUCGCGGCUUAUCAGCUUGUUGGUGGGGUAGUGGCUUACCAAGGCUUUGACGGGUAGCCGGCCUGAGAGGGUGACCGGCCACAUUGGGAAUGAGAUACGGCCCAGACUCCUACGGGAGGCAGCAGUGGGGAAUAGUGCACAAUGGGGCGAAGCAUGAUGCAGCAACGCCGCGUUAGGGAUGACGGCCUGCGGGUUGGAAACCGCUUUCGCCUGUGACGAAGCGUGAGUGACGGUAAUGGGUAAAGAAGCACCGGCUAACUACGUG
rnacentral:rRNA from 1 species